rnacentral:lncRNA from 1 species
AGUGGGACGCCCAUACCACUCAUGCUCUCUCACAAAUAGUAAAAGGAGCUCUCACUACAAAAAGGAGAUCUCCUCUCUCCCUCAAAUAAACUUUUGCAUACACACAUUCUACAAAUUAAGAAAUUUUAUCUUCUCUCCUUCCCAACAACUCUCAUUUUUCAGCAAAGAAACACCAACCCUCUUCUGCAACACUUCUGUUAGUUCCCUCCGAUCCACACUUCCAGACAUACUUCAUAGCCACAACGCCAACCCACGAGCUACCACCAUUGUUUUCCAUGACUGCACCAUUCUCCAUCCUACAAACCCUCUACAACACCUCAAUAGUGAUAACCUCUCACUCCUCCCCCAGCCUCCAUUAAGGCCAUCGCUGAGCAACUCUGAACAGCCACAACCCCAACCUUGCAUAAAACCACCAUCAAACAACAAAAUCCAUUCAUCCCACACCGAAUCACAGCCCAACAACAUUAUUGAAACUCAACACUCACAACUUCUUCACCUUCUCUACUAACUGCUCAACAUCACCAUGUAAACACAUAAGCUCCUCCACCGACCAACUCAUAAUCGCCAUCACCUAAACCUCAAACACCUUACAAACCUCAUGAUAACUCAUCCACCAACACCAUUGUGAUCUACCACAAACCUUCACAAAUCAUACACGAUAUACCAAUCAUCCAUAUAUCACACCACUUAAUUCGUGUUUCAACCAAACCUCCCAUACUUCAGUUACCGACAAACAACCUCAACAAGAUUUCAAUCAUCAACUACAUCACUAACCACAUAACAACCUCCUUUUCCUCCACCCAAAUGCCAUUGUACCACCCUUCAAACCACCAACCUUCGAACCACACAUAUCUCAGUUUCCUUUUCCCAACCAUAAAGCUACGUCCAAUCAUCUCCUUUUUUCGGCAAAGCAAAUAACAACAUCAUCAAACGCGGAGCAAAUUGAAGUUGUCGAAAACAUCCACUACAACCGCCGUAUGCGUACCAUCUUCCCUUUAACUGUUGUUACAACUUAUUUGCAGCCUGUGGAAGAUGAUAUAUGUUAUUGCUGAUGCAGUUUUCUCUUCGUUUUUGAAACGGGCAAAGAGACGUUAUGUUACUUUGCGAAUGCCAUUGACCGAGAAAAUGAUUUUUUGUUUUUCAAAUGGCUGAUGUCUGAAUGAAAGAGGUAGCCUUCACCAAUUUUUUUUUAUCUCUUUUAGUGUUUAAUUAAUUAAUUAAUUAAUGUUUUUUAUUCUAUUUAUUUUCUUCAUUUCAAGUUUUUAUUGUGAUGUAACAUAUGUUAUUUAUUUGUGAAUUUUAUUUUUAUGUA